UACGGGGGGGGCAAGCGUUUGUUCGGAAUUACUGGGCGUAAAGGGCUCGUAGGUGGCCAACUAAGUCAGACGUGAAAUCCCUCGGCUUAACCGGGGAACUGCGUCUGAUACUGGAUGGCUUGAGUUCGGGAGAGGGAUGCGGAAUUCCAGGUGUAGCGGUGAAAUGCGUAGAUAUCAGGAGGAACACCGGUGGCGAAGGCGGGUCUCUGGGCCGAUACUGACGCUGAGGAGCGAAAGCCAGGGGAGCAAACGGG
rnacentral:rRNA from 1 species